rnacentral:lncRNA from 1 species
CUGGAGACAGCUUUUCAAAGUCAUGUGACUAGACCAUGUGACUUCCACUUAAAACUCCUCAGUAGUCCCAGUAGCUUAGGAUAAAGACGCGAAUCUUCGACGGGCCUCCUGGGUCCACACAGCUGGCUUCUCCCAACUCAACCUCCCUCCACCACGUGGCUUUCUCUCUGCUGAGAUGGCCACGGCAUCUCCUUGACGAGAGGGACCCCCAGGGAGUGGACCUUCCUGACCCUUGCUGAUGGCCGCCUCCAGAGGAGGGAUGCAAAACCCAGCCUGGCUCCCCUGAGAACCGAGUUCUGCCAGACACCAACGCUCACGCCUUCCUUCCAUCGCCUGGUGAAGAAACUCUGGUUUUUAUCUUAGAGCAAUGGAGUCGGAACCGGGAUGUGGCUGCCCAGAAAGUCUCUGUGCCCCGCCCACCUUGUUGCUUCCAUUUUGAGGUCUGAAGACGUUUGGGAUGCCUGCUCCACACUCUCCUCCCCUGCCAUUUGGCUGCUACCCAGAGGAGAAUCCUGGACCAAGAGGAGUCAUUUCUCUUUACAUCACCCAGUGUGGAUUUGCUUCCUCCUGUGCACAAAGGGAGUUUGGCCCUUGGGAGAGGAGAUGAAGGGUGAUCCCAUCGCUACUAUUGAUCAGGCCUGACAUGUCUUGAAGGCAAACAUGCAGAACCUUCAUCCUUGUAAUGGGCCAAGGUGGAGGAUAUUUCCCCCACUUUGCAGAUGAGUAAACUGAGGCCUAGAGAGUUUAAGGGGUGUGCCUGGCCUUGAUGCCAGGAACUACUCUGCUUGUGAGUCUCAGAAGGAUAGGAUGCUUGUUGGAAGCAUAUGGUGCCCAGUCCAGCAUCUCUGACCACAGCUGGAACAAAGAGACGGAGCUUGCCAUUCCCAAAGGAUGGACCUCACCAGCCUGGCCAUGGCCUCCUCACAGCCUCUGCUCUCUCCUGCUAUGGUCCUGCCUCCAAGUGGUCCCAUCCAAGUGGUCUUCCCAGACUUAAAAUCUGACUGUGCUGCUGCCCUGCACAAAAUGCCUCCAUGCUCCCCACGGCCCACAAGAGAAAGUGCAGCUCCUUAGCCGGAUGUUCAGGCUCCUGCUGAGCUUUCUAGGGUUCCUCCUGUUCCCCUUCCUUGGGAUUUUGUGUUCCCAUCAGACUUGGUCAGACUUGGUGGAUCUUCCUCCUUCAC